rnacentral:rRNA from 1 species
AGAACGAACGCUGGCGGCAGGCCUCAAACAUGCAAGUCUAGGGGGCGUAGCAAUACGUCACCGGCGGACGGGUGCGUAACACGUGGGAAUGUACUUACUGGUUCGGAACAACUCAGGGAAACUUGAGCUAAUACCGAAUGUGCCCGAAAGGGGAAAGAUUUAUCGCCAGUAAAUCAGCCCGCGUCCGAUUAGCUAGUUGGCGGGGUAAAGGCCCACCAAGGCGACGAUCGGUAGCUGUUCUGAGAGGAAGAUCAGCCACACUGGGACUGAGACACGGCCCAGACUCCUACGGGAGGCAGCAGUUGGGAAUCUUGGACAAUGGGGAAACCCUGAUCCAGCCAUGCCGCGUGAGUGAUGAAGGCCUUCGGGUUGUAAAACUCUUUCGACGGGGACGAUAAUGACGGUACCCGUAGAAGAAGCUCCGGCUAACUUCGUGCCAGCAGCCGC